CUAAUACCGGAUAACAACAGAUGAUGCCUAUCAACUGUUUAAAAGAAUGGUUCUGCUAUCACUCUUGGAUGGACCUGCGGUGCAUUAGCUAGUUGGUAGGGUAACGGCCUACCAAGGCGAUGAUGCAUAGCCGAGUUGAGAGACUGAUCGGCCACAUUGGGACUGAGACACGGCCCAAACUCCUACGGGAGGCAGCAGUU
rnacentral:rRNA from 1 species